GGUUUCUAAAAGUAAAGCAGUAAAUUUUAUAAUUCUUCGGAAACUUGUAAAAUUUAUUUAUUUUUACUUACCGUUUAUUUCGAAAAAUUCAACAGAUUCCGAUUCGUACUCUGACUAACACUGAAACUAAGGUGUGGUAACACUUUCAACGGUUGAGUGCUUGGUCCCAUGAAGCCGUUGUAGUGUCCCCAAUGCCCCGUCGUCGCAAUUUCGACGAUCUCUGGGGGGAGUUGCCUGUCCCUCUUCUAAUGGCUUUCAAUGGCAGGGUGUUGUUCGAAAGCCUCUUUUUCAAGCACCUCAACACAUCUAAAAAUCGUGCGACCUCCCAGAGUCUGCCGAAAUAUCUACAACAGUCCGGAUAAU